GAGCGCUCGGCACUACAGCGGCUACUGCAUAUCGAUGCCCCUGGGUCCGCUGAGAUUCUGAGUCCCAGGAGGUAGCUGGCAGAACUGCCUGAAUGUCACUCUUAUUAACUGGAAAAUGGGGCCCCCAUCUCCUGACACCCAAGAGAACAGAUGUCAGAUGUCUCUUCCCCACCAGGUUCACCAACCAGUUUCUGCUGACACUGGAACACAAUGGCAAUUGUUUCCUUAGCUUCUCGCUGGCCACCAUAUUGUCUGUGCGGCUGAUCGUCUUCCAGUUUAUCUACUUUACAAACCCAAGUAGGUCAUCUAAUAUUUAAUCAUCUUUUACAUUUAUGAGGCUGUAACAAGUCCUGCACUGGACAUUCUACUUGGGAAACCUGGGGAGAUGCAAAAAAGGAAGCAGUCCCGCUGCAGAAGAGAGGAAAGGAGGCCAGGGAAACCACAGCAGGUGCACACACACGUACACGCCUGCACACCACGGGGACAGCCAGCUAGCCCUUGUGAGCCAACACACCAUCCACCAGGCCCAAGGUUUCAGAUCACAGACAGGCCCAAGGCUCUGAACAGAUACAGCCGACAGGAUGUGGCUCCUCGGCCCACGGUGGCCAGGUAUCCACAUUAGACCCGUAACCACUCAGCACAGGACAACGCUGGUGUAGUCAGGAGGAUACAGUUCAAGCAAACUCUCCUCAGCAGGCCCAGCGCAGGUGCUCCUCACAGUGAGAGGAGCUCCUUGACAGUGAGAAGCGCUCUCUCCCCAGCUCCCUCCCCAGCGCGCUCUGUGACAGGCUUCUCCUCAACACAUUGCUCCGGGCCCUGAAGGAAGCCCAGUGGGCUACUUAGACCAAAGGAAGGGUCCACUUGCUCCUCCCUCGGUCUCAACCUGCCACUCCAUCUGUGUGACCUUGGGGAGCUGCCCUCCCCUUCCUCUUCUGUGCAAUCUGUCACAUGGAUUCCUAGCCUGACUAUGUUGUGGUAAAUCUACAAACAGCCUGAAAUUCUCCAGUAGAGCGCGCCCCCUCAGGCUAGUGAUGGCAGGCCAUUCUCUUGGCUACCUUUCCUGAGCACCAAAGGACAAUGACCCAGGGAACAUGUGUCACCUGUGUUCCUUACCAUUACCUGCUGGGAAUCAGUAUAAACUCAGGCCACUGAGAGCCAAGACGCCUGCCUCCUUCUGCAGCUUGUUCCGGGUCCUUAGCAUGCAUGGGAAGGAGCCUUCGUAGGUCCACGUCAUAGGUGAGACCCUUCAGAAUGCUCUGAGGGUGACACUGAGACCACCGACCUUCAUACCUGUGAUAUAAACACCUGUAUACACCCUAUCAGGAUGACAGUGCACAUACAAGCCACCCUCAUAGACCAUCUGCUGUCCAGCAUCCCUAGAGGUGCAGACAGAAGCCAAGACACAGGGAGGUGUGAUUACCAAAGGCCACCCACCUCCAGCUCGCGGCGUCCUGGCCAAGUAUGAUAGCUUCCUUUUGGUGGUUGUUUGGGGGUUUGUUUGUUUUUCAAAACAGAGGGGUUUUAUUUGUUUUUCAAGAUAGAAUUUCUCUGUGUAGCCCUGGCUGUCCUGAACUUGCUCUGCAAAUCAGGCUGAUGUUGAACUCAUU
rnacentral:lncRNA from 1 species